UAAUAAUCUUCUUGUAACCACUGACAGGCCUUUUUGUGAAUGAUGAUGGAAAAAGCAAGAACCUUGUCCAGGUUCCUCUCCAGGGAGCAGGGGUGGGUUGUGAUUCUUGAUUUCAUUCCUUUAGAUAUGAAGAGUUUUCACACAGAGGCAGCACGAAUUUGUCUCUCUCCUAGAGGGUGGGGAGAGUUGCUGGGUGGAUAUAACUGCAUCACAGCCUUUCUGGGUAAACUGGCCACUCCCUACUGAUUUGUUAUCAUGCUAAAUGUGUCUCCUCCCUUCCUUUCUGGAGCUUUUGCAGCUGUUCCUGGAAGGAGACCCAGUUGAAAGGGGUUGUUAUGGACCAGGAACAGCUGGGAUCUUUAAUGAUCUGUGAGCAGCUUACAGCAAAGUUCCAACACCCUGAGUAUCAGUCCCCAAAUCCUUGGUCUUUGCAUUCCAACACAAAGUAAAAAGGAUUGAGCAGGGUUUUGGUUUUGGUUGCAAGUAACAGAAACCCAACGCUAAUUAAUAAACGGGAAAGUGUGUCAGUGGAAAUCUCCACAAGUCCGACGGAAAGAGAAAACUGCUUUCCCAAAGGGUGUAAGAGGAUGAAAGGCAUGUCAUCAGCUGAAUUGCAUCAGGUGUCCAUCUUGGAAUCAAUCACGGUGCCUCUUAUUAGCAAAGCCUGAGUCAUAGCCAGCAAGAAAACAGGGACCUUAAUCUUACGACCACAAGGAACUGGACUCUGCUACCAGAAUGAGCUGCAAGGGAGAUUCUUCCUCAGAAGCUUCAGAUAAGAACUCCACCUGGCUGACCUUUGAUUUUGGUUUUGUGAGAACUUUGGCAGAUAACCCAGGUGAGUCUUCACAGUCUGAGUUAACAAGUUGGUAUUGUUUUAGGUUGCA
rnacentral:lncRNA from 1 species